AGGCAAGAUAAGCUGAAGGUGGCUUCAUCUUGGAAUUUGGGCAGGUCAAAAAUAGUUGUAGGUGGGCCUAAUGUAAGAAAAUCUCCACCUGAAACCCCAUUUUGCUUUCAUGAUUUUCUUGGAAUUAUGCUUGGCCCCUGAAAUUGAAUCAGAACAUGAAGGGUCUUCUCUGAAAACACACAAAAACUUUAAUAAUUAGCAAACACUGACAAACAAGACCCCAUUAUGAUUAUUCUUUUAUAUAUACAGAGAAUUGAGCUACACAUUGGGAGUACUUCGUUCCUCAUUUU
rnacentral:misc_RNA from 1 species